rnacentral:SRP_RNA from 1 species
UUGGGUCCCGUGCGAUCCUUCUGUGUGAACCAUGUCAGGACCGGAAGGUAGCAGCAUUAAGCAUUCGAUGGAUGUGCUGCGGGGCUGCC